UGACAGGAUCUAGUAGGAGUACCAGCUU
rnacentral:piRNA from 1 species